rnacentral:rRNA from 1 species
GAGUUUGAUCUUGGCUCAGAUUGAACGCUGGCGGCAGGCCUAACACAUGCAAGUCGGGCGGUAGAGAGAAGCUUGCUUCUCUUGAGAGCGGGCGGACGGGUGAGUAAUGCCUAGGAAUCUGCCUGGUAGUGGGGGAUAACGCUCGGAAACGGACGCUAAUACCGCAUACGUCCUACGGGAGAAAGCAGGGGACCUUCGGGCCUUGCGCUAUCAGAUGAGCCUAGGUCGGAUUAGCUAGUUGGUGAGGUAAUGGCUCACCAAGGCGACGAUCCGUAACUGGUCUGAGAGGAUGAUCAGUCACACUGGAACUGAGACACGGUCCAGACUCCUACGGGAGGCAGCAGUGGGGAAUAUUGGACAAUGGGCGAAAGCCUGAUCCAGCCAUGCCGCGUGUGUGAAGAAGGUCUUCGGAUUGUAAAGCACUUUAAGUUGGGAGGAAGGGCAGUAAAUUAAUACUUUAGCUGUUUUGACGUUUACCGACAGAAUAAGCACCGGCUAACUACUGUGCCAGCCGCCG